ACUGACGGAGCCAGCGAGUUUACCUUGGCCGAGAGGCUUCUGGGGAAUCUUGUGAAACUCCGUCGUGCUGGGGAUAGAGCAUUGCAAUUAUUGCUCUUCAAC
rnacentral:ncRNA from 1 species